rnacentral:rRNA from 1 species
AGCGAUUCCGGCAACGGAUGGGCAUGCGUGACAUUAGCUAGUUGGCGGGGCAACGGCCCACCAAGGCGACGAUGUCUAGGGGUUCUGAGAGGAAGGUCCCCCACACUGGUACUGAGACACGGACCAGACUCCUACGGGAGGCAGCAGUGAGGAAUAUUGGUCAAUGGGCGCGAGCCUGAACCAGCCAAGUCGCGUGAGGGAUGACGGCCCUACGGGUUGUAAACCUCUUUUGUCGGGGAGCAAAUUCCGCCACGUGUGGCGGAGUCGAGAGUACCCGAAGAAAAAGCAUCGGCUAACUCCGUGCCAGCAGCCGCGGUAAUACGGAGGAUGCGAGCGUUAUCCGGAUUUAUUGGGUUUAAAGGGUGCGUAGGCGGACUGUCAAGUCAGCGGUAAAAUACGGGGGCUCAACCUCCGCCCGCCGUUGAAACUGACGGUCUUGAGUGGGCGAGAAGUAUGCGGAAUGCGUGGUGUAGCGGUGAAAUGCAUAGAUAUCACGCAGAACUCCGAUUGCGAAGGCAGCAUACCGGCGCCCAACUGACGCUGAAGCACGAAAGCGUGGGUAUCGAACAGGAUUAGAUACCCUGGUAGUCCACGCAGUAAACGAUGAAUACUAGCUGUCCGGGGCGAAUGAGCCCUGG